GAGGUUAAGCGACUAAGCGUACACGGUGGAUGCCCUGGCAGUCAGAGGCGAUGAAGGACGUGCUAAUCUGCGAUAAGCGUCGGUGAGGUGAUAUGAACCGUUAUAACCGGCGAUUUCCGAAUGGGGAAACCCAGUGUGUUUCGACACACUAUCAUUAACUGAAUCCAUAGGUUAAUGAGGCGAACCGGGGGAACUGAAACAUCUAAGUACCCCGAGGAAAAGAAAUCAACCGAGAUUCCCCCAGUAGCGGCGAGCGAACGGGGAGGAGCCCAGAGCCUGAAUCAGUGUGUGUGUUAGUGGAAGCGUCUGGAAAGGCGCGCGAUACAGGGUGACAG
rnacentral:rRNA from 1 species